AAAGAAGAGAGAAAAAUCAGAAGAAUUAAUCGAAAAAAAGAGCCCAUUUUUGUAUUUUUAAUGUCUGCAAUGGUAAAAGAAAUCUCUCUUUCUCUCUUUUCUUCUCCUCCUUCUCUUUCUUCUUCUCUCUCUCCUUCUCCUCUCCUUUCUCUUGUUAUCAAAGAAACAGGAAUUAAAAAGAUGAAAACGACACUUGCUCUUCCUCUACUCUUCUUUUCUCUUCAAAAGA
rnacentral:ribozyme from 13 species